GAGCUUCCCGAACUUGCAAUUCCUCAUCUUGGUAAUGAUAUUAAAAACCCCCAAUAUGUUUUUGUUUGAUCUUUAUGAACAUGCCAUGUUUCAUUGUGUUUAUAUCCUCUGUUCUUUUUUUUUUUUUUUUUGUAUAUAUCCUCUGUUCUUUCCUCAGGUAUGCUAUUGUAGUUAUGAGGAAAUGUCAUUGGAAGAGAUUAAUCAAAUCAGUUUGUCAUCUA
rnacentral:lncRNA from 1 species